AGCCACGAAGGUGUUUGCUAUCCGGAAAAUGAAAACGCAAUUUACAAACAAAAAUACUCUUAUUUUACGCACAGAGAUAUUACAGAAGCGUGCAGUUCCGUAGGAAGUUCUUUUUUAUAAGGGGGUGGCGAGGGCCGAAGGCCCGAGGAAAUUUUUCAAUUUAGAGUCUCUGAAAUGCCAUUUCGUGGACUUUGGGGGAAGUUUUGACAGAAUUCUGAUGGUCAGAAAACAGUUUUAGCACGUCGAAAUUUACUAUUAAUUUGCUUACAAUUUAGAAGAAUUAAAUGGGCGAAGGCGUAUAUGGGUAAUAUGAUUCUUUGCGGUUUGUCAUGGGUAAUAUAGCCGCUUAAAAUUAAUCAAUUGUCAGUAUUUUAAAGAUAUAUUGAGGGCUUCCCCCCCUCCCGUUGCUACGGCCCUGGGAAGUAAUAAACCGAAAUACAUUUACCGAUCUACGAUUUGUUAAAUGUUAUCCAUGUAAAU